GAUGAACGCUGGCGGCGUGCCUAAUACAUGCAAGUCGAGCGAACGGACGAGAAGCUUGCUUCUCUGAUGUUAGCGGCGGACGGGUGAGUAACACGUGGAUAACCUACCUAUAAGACUGGGAUAACUUCGGGAAACCGGAGCUAAUACCGGAUAAUAUUUUGAACCGCAUGGUUCAAAAGUGAAAGACGGUCUUGCUGUCACUUAUAGAUGGAUCCGCGCUGCAUUAGCUAGUUGGUAAGGUAACGGCUUACCAAGGCAACGAUGCAUAGCCGACCUGAGAGGGUGAUCGGCCACACUGGAACUGAGACACGGUCCAGACUCCUACGGGAGGCAGCAGUAGGGAAUCUUCCGCAAUGGGCGAAAGCCUGACGGAGCAACGCCGCGUGAGCGAUGAAGGUCUUCGGAUCGUAAAACUCUGUUAUUAGGGAAGAACAUAUGUGUAAGUAACUGUGCACAUCUUGACGGUACCUAAUCAGAAAGCCACGGCUAACUACGUG
rnacentral:rRNA from 1 species